rnacentral:piRNA from 1 species
UAGGACAGACGUGAUUAUUGCCAGUAGUGU